UGAUAGAGGCGCGGUUUCCAUCAGUACCUCAGACAUAUAGGACGGGCAGCCGUCUGAUGAGAAAGGGGACACCGCCGAAGAAGCAUCGUCCGCCCGGGGGCGUACUUCUGGGUCGCUGUAAAAUAUGCAGCGGACUGUCACAUAUUGUGGAGCGCUAUCAU
rnacentral:ncRNA from 1 species